ensembl:lncRNA
GGGCAGAAAAAAAAAAAAAACAACGAAAAAAAACCCCGGCCAAUCCAAGAAAUAUAGCGGCGUGGAAAUCAAGGAGAUGAAAGUAAAAAAAAAAAAAAAAUGUUUUAUGAGAGGGCGUGGAGAAAAGCAAAAUCUCGGAGAAGUGCAAAAUCAAGCCUGCGAACUCCUCGGAUGAUGCUGGUCUUGGCUGGCCUCUCCAGCUUGGGGAACGAAUGGAACGAUACGGCGAGGUGCGGAAAUCUCCUGAUUCAGCCUCCCGGAGCCUCUCUGAGAUAAAGCAGGGUCCAGUCCCGUGAGCAUCAACUUCUGCGGAAGGACAAAACAGUUUGAAGGAGCAGGGAGGAGGUGAGAGGAAAAGAAUCCACCCCUCAGAUGACUACAUAAGGAGAUCAAAAAAAAAACAAAACCAACCGCCCCAGAUCCUCUCGAUCUUGCCCAACAGCUGCUCCCCUUUUCCCUCUGAAGCAGCAGCAAGAGCAGCAAGAAAAAAUACACCACGCCAGCGGCAAAUAAAUAAACUUGAAUGCAGCGGCAGGCAGGGAGGGAUCGUAAAGAGCGACGAGGAUUGGAGGGGCAAAAGUCAGUUUUGAAAAAAAAAAAAAAAAAAAAGCUUUAUGGGAGGAAAAAAAAUCUUAAAACAGUCACGCCCCCUUUUGCAAUGACCCGUCCCUUCACUGCGUGUAAAUCCGACAUCAGCAACCUGGAAAAGCUAGGAGCCUGGCGUGCUGAGCUGUCUCUGUGCAUGCGUGUGUGCGACAGGCAGCCGCAGAGCUGUGUACGCGGUACAGAGAGGGAGGCGUCGUCCCGAGCUUCUCCUCCUCCAUGCCAAAAAAAUACCCAACCCCACCUUCUGGAAACCUGACUAAUUGAAUUACUAAGAACUCGAAGUGGUUCCUGUGCAGCCUUACUGCUAAAGUUUGGUGCAAGUGCUGCUGCUUCCACGCCAGAGGGAUGCACCAGUAGCAAGGGAGUGUUGUCUCCAAGUGGUCCUGUUGCUAAGUGUGGAGAGGGGAAAGAAAGAGAGGGAGAGGGGACCCGUCUCUGAAGACCUGAUAUGCCUGUUAGUAUUUUUUUCUCACCUAUCUCUGGCUGUCAAUUUCUUUUUACUUCUUUCUGUCUUUUUAUUUGAUGUCAGCUGUUGGCUCUUCUUUUUUUUUUUUUCCUUUCUAUUUUUCUUUCUGUCUCAAUAUAUUUUUUUUUCCAUUUGGAGGUUAUUAAAAUUUAGUAUUUUCUCUCAGAGUGUAGCCCUCCUUGCCCUGUCAUGAAAUGAAAUCAUAUUGAACAGAAAGGCUUUACUUGGAGCUCAGACAGGAAUUAAAGACAGCAGUUUUAACAAGAACAUACAUAAACAUCCCCAGACUUCUUGUACUGCCAACGUGAGCUUCCUUAUUCAUGUAAAGAUACCGACAAUUUUCAAGGUAGGAUACAUAUUGCUUUGCAACUACUAUGUAUGAAAUAUUUUUCAGCACUGUGAAUGCCUCUCGAAGAGAGAAUCACAUUUAGUCCUCUCACAGUCCUUGCUAUCUAGUCACCUACUUCUUGCAGUGAAUGUAUCUCUAUAAAUUCCUUAAACUGUAUUAAACAUGUAUUAUCUAUGUACAGGUACAAGGGAGCAGAAAAGAAGUCCUAAUUUUGCAGUGCUUUGCUGCUGUUUUAACCAGUGUACAUUUGCAAGUCAGUAAAGCAUACACAAUAUUUCCCUUCUGCCUCCUGCUUCUUCUUCAUGUCUGUUGACCACAUGGAUAAUGCUGGAGCUGCUAAUUCUCUCCUUGCAGUGCUUAAGCUCUUGCCAGAGCACUCAUUACUAGAAAGACACUGAGAAUCAAACCCAUACCGAGAGUAAUCCAGCAUAGCACCAGCUGAAGUCAACAAGAGUUGUGUCUGUCUAUGCCAGGGCUGUAUUUAUUGCUAAAACUGUCUCCAGCACAAAGAUGCCUUGCCAUGUUUAUUCUGUGCCACCAUGUCUGGUAUAAUCAGGAGAGAAUAAGAGACAAAAGGUUUACAGUGUUGUUUUAAUGUCUGCCAAUAACAAGAUUGGAGAUUCACAGCAUCUGAAGCCAGUCAGUUCAUCAAAGUGCUCUUCAGCAGCACAAAGCACUCCAUCUUAACAUUGCAUCCAAUUGUGCAUUUCAGGGAAUCUUUCAAUAUGCUCUUCUAGGCAGUGCUAGCAAACUUAGCAAUAUGCACUCUUGCCUUACUUGCUGACUGGCUUAAAAAAAGAAAAUUAAAUACAUUUCUCAUAUGGCUAUAAUGUGGAAUUUUUCCACACCAUUAAAUAAAAUGUUACUGUAGUUUAUUGGCA